GCCAGCGUCUUGGGCACAGCCUGAGGGCUUCCGCGGCCACUCACUGCUGGUCGGAGGUCCCCUCCGCCCAGAGGCCACCGCUGAACUACCCAGACGCCUGGCGCAGCUGCUCCCUGAGGGGCUGGAGGGACAGCACGCAUCAGCGUCCCCUCGUGUCUUCCCGCCGGGCCCCUUCCUGGAAGAAGUUCCCAGGAGGAGGCUUCUGACCGUGAAUGAAACCUUCAGACACUCCUGCUUGGCUGCAGGGGAGGCUGUGCCCCUCCGGGGUGCUGGGCAGUUUCCACGGUAACGAAGGUCCACCCCGACGACUCAGCCACACACCUUGACGUGACCUAAUCCUAGAAAAGCCACCGAAACCUCGUCCUCCCGCCCCGCCCGCCCUGCCGGAGGCAGCCUGCUCACCAGGUGCUCAGAGGGACGAGGAGGAGGAGGAGGAGGAGGAGGGGGAGGAAGAGAGAACAGGCGAGGCCAGAUUCUUUAGAAAGAAGAUGGACAGUGACUUUCGACAGCACAUGACCUGCCUGCAGAGGACCCCACAACCUACCGCGUCCGUCUGAGAGCCACUGGGAUGACUUGUUCAGGAAGGAGUAACGGCCGCGCCCGUGCUGAGCGUGCAUGUCUGUGCUUUCCCGGGGCCACCAGGAGGGAUGACGCGGGGCCGGCGUUCCGGGGCCAACGGUCAGGAUGGGGCCUGGGCUGCCUGCGGCCAGUCUGUUGGGUGCGGGACACAGAGCAGAACAACAGGCUCCGAGUCCGCACAGCCCCUGCGCCUGGUUCACGGACGAGACGAGUGGCCACAGGACAGAGUGGCGACCUCAGGGCCCUGCGGUCCCAACAGCAGCCCCGGACUUUCUGGGCAGACACACUCUGCUCCACUCGCUCAGCAGGAAGGGGCAGACACGUUGUUAACAGAGCGUGGAGAGCGGCUACCGCGUUUGGACCGGUUAUGGUCCGAACCUGUGGGCCCACGUGGCUGAGUGAC